UGCCUGGGUCUUUCCAGCAACAGGAAGGGGGGCAAGACCCUCUCCCUCUUCCCCUUCCAGGUAGAGAGGCACACAGACAAGCCCCUACACACUCCGCUGAAACACAGUCAUACCUAACAUGUGAGCGCGCGCACACACACACACGCACACACGCGCGCACGCGCGCGCACACACACACACACACACACGCACGCAGGCACAGCCAGGCAGUUUUACAAGGAGGUGGCAUGGAGAUGCUAUCUACGUGCCGUGAUCUGAGCGCCCCACCAUAAAUCCGUCAGCGUGCCUGCAUAUUUACCAUUGAGAGAUUACCUUGAGAAGCUUUUUGGCCAAGUCUCUUAACAAAAAUGUGAAAAACACAAAAGUGAACAAGGGGACUUCUUAAGGCUUUUUGCUUAAAGAGGGCUUCUGAGAGGGGCAGGGGCAGCGGAAACAGACCCCACUUCCUGUCUUGGCUACAAGUCUGUCCUGGCCAGAGCUGCCCAAAGUAGGUGUCCUAUUAAACUGGUGGGGGUAGCGGAGAGGGGGUGCCCUCAUUUCCUGCGCUAUCUGCACUCUUCCAGGGUCAUACAAAUACUGCUGCCCCUCGUUAGGUGCCUAUGGCGUGCUAGGUAUGUGCAAACGCUUUGUGUCCGUGUUCACCGAGCCCCAUAGUGAGGGUAUUAUCUCCACUUUACAGAGAAGGAAACUGAAGCUCAAGACUUGCCUAGGGUCACGGCUGUCGUGUGGUGGGGCAUCUAGCCUCUGCUCAUCCCCUCGGCACGGGAGAUGGAGUCUCACUCUGGGAAGGGAGGGGGCGGGAGCUGCCAAGGGUCCCAGUGACUGACUUCAGAGCCGGGGACAUGCUGCCUGGAGACCAAGGAACACAGGUGGCAGCUCCACGCCGGCGGGCCACCCCAUGGGGACGCUGCUUCUCCUUCAUGGCAUUUGGGCAGCUCCAUCCUCACUCCAGGGUUGGGGUGAGUUAGGACAUAGGGGCAAAUGGGCUCACAGAGCCUGUCUGCUCACCCUGCCCCCCAACCCCAGGGAGGUUACGAAAAACCAACCCCCUGACUUUGGGGGUUCUGGACUCCUCAUCGUCAUAAUCCCACAAACUAUUUUUGGAGGAAAUGGGCUGUCACCCUUGAAUUGAGCCCCUGGUAAUUGGAAUAGAUAGGGCACCUCACUGCCCCAAGAGCCCAUGAGAACUUCUCAUAUUACCCCCCAGAGGGCGCUAUUGCCAAAACAGCCCAGAAGCUCAAUCCUGUUGAGACUUCUCAGAGCUCCCUGGCAGAACCCCUCACCCUAGGGUGCCUGCAGCUGAACCUCCUCUCAUCACAGCCUGACCCCACCACCCAUCAUCCACUCCAGCUGCAUAUCUGCUCAAAUUCUGCUCCCAAGCUGAUAUGCAAGUACGUUGAAAACUUCACUGAGCUGAACGCUUCUGCUGCUGUCUGAGGCAGUCCUGCACAUGUACCCCGAUUACUGGAUGUCCCCCCAUUUUCAGGUCCCUUGGGGUCCAGGGCAGUGACGAGGAGAGAUCUCAGCGGAGGUUGUUUGGAGCAGGUUGAUACUGGAUACAAGAAGGGAAAG